GGAUGUGAGGGUGAUCUGGCUGCAACAUCUGUCACUCCAUUGAUCGCCAGAGUUGAUUUGGCUGAUCUGGCUGGCUAGGUGGGUGUCCCCUUCCUCCCUCACCUCUCCAUGUGCGUCCCUCCCGGCCAUAAGUGGAAGAGGAAGGCCUUCUCUGAAUAGAGACUGACCAGUUUUCGGUCAAGGGUAUAUGAGUAGCUGUGCUCCCCUUCUAGAACAUCCAAACAAGCUCUCAAGGAAAGCUAUCGGGGAGGGGAGGGGAUACAGAGUUCUGGUGGUGGGAAUUGUGUGGAGUUGUACCCCUCUUA
rnacentral:snRNA from 1 species